CAGUAGCCGCGGGAAUACGUAGGUGGCGAGCGUUGUCCGGAAUUAUUGGGCGUAAAGGGCUCGCAGGCGGUUUCUUAAGUCUGAUGUGGAAGCCCCCGGCUCAACCGGGGAGGGUCAUUGGAAACUGGGAAACUUGAGUGCAGAAGAGGAGAGUGGAAUUCCACGUGUAGCGGUGAAAUGCGUAGAGAUGUGGAGGAACACCAGUGGCGAAGGCGACUCUCUGGUCUGUAACUGACGCUGAGGAGCGAAAGCGUGGGGAGCGAACAGGAUUAGAUACCCCGGUAGUCCCUGUCUCUUAUAC
rnacentral:rRNA from 1 species